AUCUCUCCUGAACAGAAAAAAAGAGAUGCAGGUCACCCGGAAGGAACUUAGAAUAAGGAACUUGUUUGGAAACCACCAUGCAGAGGAGGACUUGAAUUUGGCUAAAGUGGUACUUGGUUUCACCGAUGACCUUGUUUUAAAGACUCUGAUAUUUUACUGAACUUGGAAGAAAAUCUGCUUAUCAGUGUUAACAACCUUGUCUGAGUUGCCAGAUAAAAGGCCACAGCAAUUGGGAGAAAGUUAUCUUUAAAAUGUUUCCAUUAUGCUUGGUGACAAUGCAGCUUCCACUGAGGAUUUCUCUAUGGCUCACACACUCAGGAGUAUGUCUUAAGGGGAGAAAUUCACUGAGGUUACAGAUUAAGGGAAGAAGCAGCCUACUGGUCCCAUUCACCCUCCCCCAUGCCAAGGCUUCAUUGUAGGAUAAAGGCCAACAGUUAAGGGGUAUUUACACUGCACAGGUGCCAGAAUUUUAUGGAUUGAUAACAUUGACAACAGUUAAUGAAGAAGCUUGGCAUUCCUUGACCACAGAGUGAUAUGAUGAGAGCUGG